rnacentral:rRNA from 1 species
CCUACGGGGGGCUGCAGUGGGGAAUAUUGGACAAUGGGGGGAACCCUGAUCCAGCCAUGCCGCGUGUGUGAAGAAGGCCCUCGGGUUGUAAAGCACUUUCAGUGAGGAAGAACGCCUGGUGGUUAAUACCCAUCAGGAAAGACAUCACUCACAGAAGAAGCACCGGCUAACUCCGUGCCAGCAGCCGCGGUAAUACGGAGGGUGCGAGCGUUAAUCGGAAUUACUGGGCGUAAAGCGCGCGUAGGUGGCUUGAUAAGCCGGUUGUGAAAGCCCCGGGCUCAACCUGGGAACGGCAUCCGGAACUGUCAAGCUAGAGUGCAGGAGAGGAAGGUAGAAUUCCCGGUGUAGCGGUGAAAUGCGUAGAGAUCGGGAGGAAUACCAGUGGCGAAGGCGGCCUUCUGGACUGACACUGUCACUGAGGUGCGAAAGCGUGGGUAGCAAACAGGAUUAGAUACCCCGGUAGUC